rnacentral:tRNA from 1 species
GCACCAGUAGUAUAAUCAGUACAAAUGCCUUCCAAGCAUUAAGUCUACAAAAUUGUAGUUGAUGUA